AGUUGACCAGGUAAUGGUGUCGGUUGAAUUUCCUCCUUUGGUAAAGCUGCGGAUUCGCUUGGUACCUCAGUAACACUAGCGAUGCUUAUUCGAAGAAUUAAGGGCACAGGCCGAUACGAGGAAACGAUUUGAUGCUUUGGGAAGGGAAGUAUGCUCUCGUAGGAGGGCACCGUGCCAGGAAGCCGAUAUUGUCGACGAGACCCUGUAGAGAGUGUGUAGGGUCUCUAUAUCUAUUUCUAUCUCUCUCUAUCUCUCUCUCUCUCUCUCUCUCUCUCUCUCUCUCUGUCUGUCUGUCUAUCAUUUAAUCGAAUUGUUAACUUUCAAUCGAAACAACAACGAAAUGUAAUUUUCGUCGUCGUUCGUAGAAUUAAUUUCAAUCGUAAUGAAUUCAAUAAUCGAAUUAAUCAAUCCAAUCAAAUUCGGAUCAACUGAAAUUUUUGUUAUUGUUUGAAAAAAAAAAAAAAAAAAAAAAUUGUCCAGAGAACUCGUCACGAUCGCUUUUACGAUUUAAUUUUGUCCGUUCGAAUUGUUAACUUUUUUCCAAUCGAAACUUUUCCAUUUGAAAUUUACUUUGAUAUUACAUCGUCAGUCGUGAAAUUUAUUUGGGAAAACUUUUCGAUUGAAAAACUGAUCGGACGACGAAGUUCGGACGAAUUGAAAAUUUUUGUCGUUUGAAAAAAAAAAUAUAUAUAUAUAUAUAUGUAUGUAUUGAUACAAGAAGCAAAAUUGUGUAGAAAUCUCGUUUGCGAUCGCGAACAAUAAGUUCGAUCGAUUGACGAACUUUUGAAUUAAUUUCAUUUCGAAAGUCCAACGAAACUUUACUUUGUUGUUUGCGACAUUGUUUAAUAAAAAAGGAAACAAGAGAAAUGUAAAAAAGAAAUAAAAUAAAAAUAGAGAAAGAAAGAUAGAAUGUGCGUGAAACAAAUCAAAUCAACUAACAUUGCGACAAAAAUGGAUUUUAAUAUUCGUAAGAUUAUAAUCGUACCGAUAUAUUUCUUCGGAUAUAAUUUUUUUUUCACUCCUGAGAUGAUCACUCCUAACGUUAUAAUUACGAUUACACCGAUAGGAGGAGUGAUCGUUUAAAAAAAAAAAUAUAUAUAUAUAUAUAUAUUACACGAUUGAACGUAACGAUGAAAAAUUUCAUAUUUACGUAAAAGUACCAAGUCGAUAACAAAUUUCUCUAUUUCUCAAUAAACUGAGAUAACAGAAAUCAAAUAGUUGAAAAUAGUCUGAAAGGAAAAAUUAAUAUACGAUAAUAAAUUAUUUGUAAUCGAUAUAUCGAAUGUUAUCAAUGAUUAAUAUUAUAGAUAAUCCACAAGUUUCGAACCACCCACUCGAAAAUCGUUGUAUAAUCGAGGCCAUAGAGAAAAUUCAUUCUAUUCAACGUGAACACGUGAAACCCGUUGGGCAAAACGAAAAUUUUGCAAAUGGUACGGUAGACCAAUGAAACCCAUUAGUAAUAUUGUUCUUGGUCAAGUGCCAAUCGAUUUCACAGAGCCAAUGUAUACAAAAAGAUUUUCCUGGAGGAAUUGCACACAGCGAAAUUACUGUUUAGAACGUUGACGUUGAAACCUCAACAUUAUUUCUAUUCGAAUUAAAUGCACGUGGUGUUAUUCACACACCGAUGAAAUUUCAAAUUUAGAUAAUAUUUAUUAGCUAACAAGAGACUCUCUAUGCCUAUCUCUGUCUCCUUCUAUGUUUCUCUCUUUCACGCUCUAAAACUAAUAAUAAAGAGAAUGAAAACGGUAUUUCAAAAAAAAAAAAAAAAGAAAAAGAAAAAAAAAUACGAGAAGGAUACACUAACAUGACGCUCGUAAUCUUUCUCUCUCUCACACACACAUGCGUACGCAUAUAUAAAGAGAGAAAGAAAGAAAGAGAGAGAGAGAGAGACAUAUAUACGCGCAUAAAAAUUCUAAAAUUGAUAAGAAAGCAUAUAAAAAUAGUAUAAAAAAUAAUAUAUAUAUAUAUAUAU